rnacentral:rRNA from 1 species
GAUGAACGCUGGCGGCGUGCCUAAUACAUGCAAGUCGAGCGAACGGACGAGAAGCUUGCUUCUCUGAUGUUAGCGGCGGACGGGUGAGUAACACGUGGAUAACCUACCUAUAAGACUGGGAUAACUUCGGGAAACCGGAGCUAAUACCGGAUAAUAUUUUGAACCGCAUGGUUCAAAAGUGAAAGACGGUCUUGCUGUCACUUAUAGAUGGAUCCGCGCUGCAUUAGCUAGUUGGUAAGGUAACGGCUUGCCAAGGCAACGAUGCAUAGCCGACCUGAGAGGGUGAUCGGCCACACUGGAACUGAGACACGGUCCAGACUCCUACGGGAGGCAGCAGUAGGGAAUCUUCAGCAAUGGGCGAAAGCCUGACGGAGCAACGCCGCGUGAGUGAUGAAGGUCUUCGGAUCGUAAAACUCUGUUAUUAGGGAAGAACAUAUGUGUAAGUAACUGUGCACAUCUUGACGGUACCUAAUCAGAAAGCCACGGCUAACUACGUG